UACGUAGGGUGCAAGCGUUAAUCGGAAUUACUGGGCGUAAAGCGUGCGCAGGCGGUUUUGUAAGUCUGACGUGAAAGCCCCGGGCUCAACCUGGGAAUGGCGAUGGAUACUGGCUCGCUAGAGUGCGGUAGAGGAGAGUGGAAUUCCCGGUGUAGCAGUGAAAUGCGUAGAGAUCGGGAGGAACAUCAGUUGCGAAGGCGGCUCUCUGGACCAGCACUGACACUGAGGCACGAAAGCGUGGGGAGCAAACAGG
rnacentral:rRNA from 1 species